AAAAAUAUAGUGAAUAGAUUUGCAUGUGAAGUCAAGUGUAUAUGCCCAGACUCGAGCAGGUUCGCUAUUAUUGUUGUUCUUGUGUGUCAAGGCUUUUGGCUGCAGACUUGCAGGUAUACAUACGAGUUCAUGCUUAAUUUUUGUUACGUUUCUUACUUACCACUGUUAUUUCUAGCAGAAGGGGCAGCUGGGGCAUGGGGACACUCUUGCGUAACCUCCAGCUGUUGUUUCUAAACUAUGAAAGUAAGAGAAACGAUGCACUGCCCUUCAUUUUAAUUGUGUAAACAUGUGUGUAUGGUAUUGCUAAAUCCAUGAACAUAUAGCAUCCAACAUACUUGAACUUAAUAGUCCAACAACAUUACAUGUUUUCUCGACAUGUUUCCAAAUGCUAAUUAGAAGUUGUCAGUUCUGCAGAUACAACAUAAUUCCAGCAGCUGUUGGAAGAAAUCACACGGUGGUUGUAACUAGC
rnacentral:lncRNA from 1 species